AUGGCUUCUCAGGCUGUGGGCUAAUCAAUGGAGACUGAAGAAUGCACUGUUCUGUCUAUACAAUUUCUUGUCUCAAGUUUGUUAAUGAUGCCCCCAACUAAAACAAUAUGCACAUCAGGUCUCAGUCCGUUAUGUGUCAAUAACCCAACAGGAAACAACACUGACCUUUCGCUACCAGGCAGCAUUCAAUAGCUCCAGGAGGUCCAACUAACAGUGGUGACCCAGGUGGCCCAGGAAGUCCAAUGUCGCCCUGUGGAAGCCAAAGGAACAGCAGAGAGGCAUUCUGUUCCAUGCAGCAUUUCGGUGGCCUUGGGGAAAGUGAAUGAGGAGAGAGCACUAGCAGCAUUCUGCAUGACUGCAGACUGCCAGGAUGAAACGUGUUUGCACAGGCAAGAGAAGGAACAACAUAUGCUCCAA